AUUAUGGGAUGCUGUUACGACUGGGUUUGUAUUAGUCAGCCGUUAAAGCAUGGAUAAACAGUAAACUCAGCUGCUUUGCGGCUGACGUAUGAGCGAAAGAUUAAUUACUAGAAUGUUCUCGUUUGAUGGCUGAUUUACGUAACGAUACGGCUGACAUAUGGUUGUUCAUCCUUAUUGCGGCUGACUUACUGUCAAAAGAUUAAUUACUAGAAUGUUUCCAUGUAUCGGCUGACAAAGUGUAAAAAUGAUGGCUGACUUAUUUUGGCUGAGUUACUGAUUUGUUUGUCGGCUGAUUAACCGAUGUUCCAUGUCAUCUGCCAUGUCAUCAACUCGGAUUUGACAUGUCAUCACUAACGGUCGCCCAAUUUACAACUGAGUUACGAGACCUUUCAGUUGUCUUCUUCAUCUUAUUUUUGAAUGAUUACACAGCCUUUCUUUUCUUCUUCCAUCUCAGUUAUCUAUCCUCUUCAUCUUUCUCAUAUGGUAAUGGAUCCCGUUAUUAUUGUUUCCGGUAAAUGGAUUAUGAAAAAACGAUAUGUAUUCGACGUCGACAGUAGAGGGUGUAGAGUUCUUCAUUUAGGUGAGAAAACUAAACUUGAAGAUUUCACAAAGUCUGUCAUCGACGAUUACUGUUUGAAUGAUUUGAAGGUUCAUAUUCUGCUUAGCUACAUGUUUUCGAAUAAAACAUUGAAAACAAUGGCGCACAACAGUCCACCAGUUUACGUGUCCAACACUCGACAAUUGCAAUGUUUUCUAAGCUUAAAGAAAAGCGAACAACUACGUCUCUGUGUGGAGAUUACAGAGAAAAAGGAUGACAGCUCAGAAGAAGAAGCUUCAGAAGAAGAAGCUUCAGAAGAAGACGCUUCAGAAGAAGAUGCUUCAGAAGAAGACGCUUCAGAAGAAGAAGCUUUAGAAGAAGAAGCUUUAGAAGUUGAGUCUAUAGAGAAUGGGAGUUACGAUGGUUGCAGUUUGGAGGAUGAACAAGAUGAAAUUGAGAAUGACUGCUUUAGUAACGUUGAAAUACACGACGUAGCCGGAGAAGAUGAAAUAGGCAAAGAAAACGAAGAAGAUGAUGAAUUUGAAAGUCGAUUUGAUAUGUUCGAUGACUCGGACGGUGCGUCAUCUGAAGAUGAUAACUUCAGCACAUACGGUGAGUCUCCUAUCGAAGAAGACGAAGAUUCACCAACGCUACCUUCCAAGAAGAGAUAUCAGAACUUCUUGAUGAGCGAAUCUAAAGGGAAUCUGGAGGUUUUGAAGUUGGAGAUGUCGUCGUUAGACCUUGCGGUAGGACAACGAUACUUGACUAAAAAGCAUUUGAAGAGACGACUGAAACUUUUUACAGUGAGGCAUCAAUUUGAUUUUGAUGUAGAAAUAUCAAACCUGACAACAUACGUUGUUAAGUGUUGGGUUGAUGGAUGUACAUGGAGAGUUCGUGCAUCUACCGAAGGAUUGUCCCCGCAGUUUUAUAUUCGUAUUUACGACUCGGAUCAUGCAUGUUCUGUAACUGAGCGUUCUAAUCGAUCUCGAAAUGCAACACCGGAUAUUUUAGGAGAGUUGUACAAGAACUUUCUCGGCGACGUUGGUCCGGCCGUUCGCCCUGAGAGUGUCGGAAUAGCUAUCACUAAGCAGUUUGGUGUAAAGGUAAUUAUGUUAAAACGGCUGAGUUAUGGUAGAGUAUAGGCUGGGUUAUUUUAUGUUAGAAAUGGCUGAGUUACAAAACUAUGGUUGAGUUAUGUUUACGUUGUGACCGUCUUAAUGAUAUGAUGUGGCUGAGUUAUGUAAAUUGUUUUUUCAUGUGAGCAGAUGGAAUAUUGGAAAUCACACCGGACGCUUAAAUGUGCAAGGGAAAUCGAUGAGGGCACACCUGAGUGUGGUUUUGAACUCUUGCCUUCUUACUUAUACAUGAUAAGAAGGGCAAAUCCGAAUACAGUUACGCGUCUUCAAAUCGAUGAGCUUGGAAGAUUCAUGUAUGUGUUUCUUGCGUUUGGUGCGAGCGUUAAUGGGUUUCCUUUCAUGCGCAAAGUUGUUGUCGUCGACGGUACGUUUCUUAAUGGUAAAUAUAAAGGGACGCUACUCACAGCACUAGCUCAGGAUGGUAACUUUCAGAUUUUUCCAAUAGCCUUCGCAGUGGUUGACACUGAAAAUGAUGAUUCGUGGAAUUGGUUUUUUACGCAACUAAAAGUGUUGAUUCCUGACCAGGAGGGUCUUGCGAUAAUAUCAGAUAGGCAUAACUCGAUAGGGAAAGCAAUUACAAAUGUGUAUCCGUUAGCUGCUCGUGGAAUAUGCACCUAUCAUUUGUAUAAAAACAUAUUGGGACGGUACAAAGGAAAAGAUGUAUUUCGGCUGGUGAAGAAAGCGGCGAGAUGUUUUAGAAUGUCUGACUUUGAUAUGAUUUUCGAGGAGAUUGAAGCACUUAAUCCUGAUCUCCACGGCUACCUCGAAAGAGCUGAUGUCAGACUGUGGACACGUGUUUAUUUCCCGGGCGAGAGGUACAAUUUGAUGACUACGAACAUAGCGGAAUCAAUGAACAGAGCAUUAUCGCAUGCUAGAGGUCUUAACAUUGUUCGAAUAUUGGAAUCGAUACGGGUUAUGAUGACCAGAUGGUUUGCUGAACGAAGAGUGGAUGCCAGAUCGCAGUCAACCACACUCACGCGCGGUGUGGAGAAACUAUUACAAGGACGUGUAAGUGCCUCCCGGGAUUGGACGGUUCAAAGGAUUGAUGACCAUCACACUGAAGUUAAAUAUGGCGCUGCUGGCGAGUCUUUGAAUGUUGUUAAUUUGGUUGAGCGAAAGUGCACAUGUCGGCGUUUCGAUGUCGAGAAAAUACCAUGUGUACACGCAAUCGCAGCUGCAGAGGAAAGAAAUGUUUCUCGAAUAUCACUGUGCAGUCCUUACUAUAAAAGCACUUAUUUAGCUAGCGCAUACGCUGAAUCGGUCAUGCCGGUUGACUCAGCGCUACCUGUUCCAGAUAACGUGGCUAACGUACAGUGCUUUCCACCGUUUAUUCGUCAACAACCGGGAAGACCUAAAAAAAUAGGAUGAAAUCUGCUUUAGAAGUUGCACUUGCAAACAAACGUCCUAGGAAAGAGCACAUAUGUUCUCGUUGCAGUCAAAGUGGACAUAAUGCGAGAACUUGUCCGACAUAAGCAAUUGCUUUUCAUGUUGUUUUGAAAUACGGCUGGGUUUUGUGUUGUAAUACGGCUGGGUUUUGUGUUGUAAUACGGCUGGGUUUUAUUUUCAUUGAUUUGCACAACGGCUGGGUUUUGUGUUGUAAUACGGCUGGGUUUUUAUUUUCAUUGAUUUGCCCGCUUCCCAUUACUCAAGAGAGACACAGACAUCGAAAAACGAAAUGUCCGUACUUAAUUGCCCUACGUUACGUAAUAGCCCCUACGUAAUUAUUGAUUAUAAAGUGGAAUACGAAAGUAGCGAAUUAAAUUAAGAGAAAUUAAUCUUCAUUGGCUGAGAUAAUGUUACUCACACGCCUAAUAAUUGUCGUGAUUUCUAAUGUCAGCUCUUUUAUUCAAACGCAGUUGAAAAAAACUUCCCCGCUAGAAACACGAAACGUCGCGAAGUCAAUUAAGGCUGAGUUAUUGUAAUACACGGCUGAGUUAUGGAUUAAAUUCCCGCUCAAAAUAAGAAAUAAGAAACGCCGCGAUACGAAACUACAACCGUUAACUGCAGAUAAAUAAGGUACUUCUCAAACAAUUACACAUCUUCAACUCUCUAUCUUUUACACAACUGUCCUCUCAGAGAAAAUGGAAUAUUUCCCUCUGCUUGAAUUGCCUGAAGAUCUUCAGGCAAUGGUGGUUGAGCGUGUGGCCCGUAACUCCUUCCAAGAUCUCUACCGCCUCAGAGCAUCGUCCAGGUCGAUGAAGGCGUUAGCAGAGAUGCGUAGGGUAUACCAUUAUUUCGAUGUGUUAUCCUUUCCCUGGGGUCUCAUUAUGCCAUCUCAGUUGUUGAAAACUUGCUACGCUGAGAACAAUCCAAGCACAAUUUAUGUAAAGGGUGUACAGUUUUUCUACUCAUACGAUGAGCAAGAUUAUGGCCUUUCUCUCCUCAAGCGUGCAGCAGAUGCAGGAUAUGAGCGUGCAGUGUAUACACACGCUAUGACUGAAGCAAUCUUUUACGGUGAUGCGCAGUAUUUUCGGAGAAUUCCAAGAGCAACUGUUGACAGGGUCGGGAAACUUGUUCGAGAUGCGAAAUGGGGAUGGGGUUUGUGGCAUACUGACGAGUUCCGUCAAAUUAAGGCCAUGUUCACUUCUACUUAUGUUCCGUCCUUCUACCUUUGCCAAUGUGCAAAUGUUGUGGACCGACAAUGUCUCUGCCUAUGGCACAUUGAUGUGACUAAGGACGACAACAUGUGUGAGCGCUGUUUCUGGAUCAAAGAGAUUUCCUUGUUCUUUCGUGAUUUUGAACCGAUAAGCCUGUUUAGGGACACAAGUAAGUGGUGAAGAUGUCUCUGCAUCAGAAUCUUAUCUUUUUUAUGUUUUUUGCUAUGCCAUUAUGUAUGUCGAACAAAAAAAUUAUAUAUUCUGUUUUUAUGGCUGACUUAUUUUCUUAUGGCUGAGUUAUUUUCAUCUUAUGGCUGACUUAUUUUCAUCUUAUGGCUGAGUUAUUUUCAUCUUAUGGCUGACUUAUUUUCAUCUUAUGGCUGAGUUAUUUUCAUCUUAUGGCUGAGUUUUGAUUGUUUUUUUAUUGUUAGAAAUAUGACUGUUUUUUGAUUGUUCACCUAAACGUUAAGACUGAUAUUAUUACAUGUUACGGCUGAGUUGUUGUUUCGGAAGAAAUUAACAACGGCUGAGUUAAAUCCGAGUUACAUAAACAUAGACUGACUUAUGAGUACAGAAUCUGAGUAAACAAAGAAGUAGUAGUAGCAACUAAUACAUUUAAGACUUCAUCCUAAGACAUUCAAUAAUUUUUAUGAUCUCAGUUAUGUCUUUCUUCAUAUCAUCUAAUUCUGCUUUUAUAGCGGCCAAAUCCUGCUCUAUCGUCGCGAGUUUGUUUGCCACAACUACAAACUCUUCAUCAUGUGCUUCAUCAAGCCAUUUGAAAACAUGGUUUUGACCCGAAUUUGCUCCACAUCGAUAAAAUCUUCUACCCGGAUUCUUUAUUGUACCUGACGUUAACACAAUGGUAGCAGCUCCACAGUCGCACGUCCUUGGAAUUCCACGCUGUAGAUCCAUCUAAUUUAUACAUCAUAGCACACAAAAAUAAUGCAAAAUCGAACAAGGCCAAAAUACAAAAAAUAAUUCAAAAUCGAUUUUGGACGAAAGAGACUUACUUUAGGUUUUAGAAGUCGACUCUGGUUUUUCCUUUAUCUUUUACUUGUAAAUAUUGGAAAUAUAAUAGGGAAAUCAUAUUAAAUAUAAAGAUCACGCGUGUCCAAAUAAAAUAAACAUAUAAUGACCUCGAUAUCGUAAAUUACUCGGACAUGCGUGUCAGGACAUAACUCGACACUGAGUUAAAUUAUGUAUGACUCUUUUGGCCAACUUUUAUUUUUUCGACAUCAUUAAAUAUUAACAAUUUUACGACUGAGGUUUAGUUUUCGGUAUUAUUAAUUAUUAACUAUGUUACGGCUGAGUUUUAUUCUUCGGCAUUAUUAAUUAUUAACAAUGUUACGGCUGAGUUUUAUUCUUCGGCAUUAUUAAUUAUUAACAAUGUUACGGCUGAGUUAUAUUUUCCGGCAUUAUUUACUUUACACAAGGAAAAAAAAAGAAAUCAUUUUCGUCCCAACGCGAAAAAAAAGGAAAAGCUCUCGACGACAGGCGAUUUCGAUACGAAGGUAAAACCGAAGCCUCUCUUUUGCAGAUUUGUGGAUUCAGCUUCGGUUCGAUGAUGUUUUCUUCCCAUUCUUUUCUUGUUUGCAGAUGCCUAAUUCGCACAAACCUCAUUUCUUGAAGCCUCUGCUUCCCGAUUUCCACAGUGGCGUGGUAGACACACACUCUCUAUUUCUCAUGUGUAUAUGUUCCUAUUUUAGAGUUUGCUUAUCUUUGGCUUUUCUGACCUGCAGACAAUACCACUUGGCUUCUUCUCACAACACAUAGAAGGGAAGACAAACCGGAAAACAUGGAAACUAAGAUCGGACGCUACAGAUCAAACUUGGGAAGUGAUACAAGAAGGCAGGAGACUCACCGGAGGUUGGAAAGAUUUCACCACAGCACAUGACCUUCAAAUCGGUGACAUUGUCAUCUUCAAACACGAAGGAGAUAUGGUGUUUCAUGUCACACCAUUUGGUCCUAGCUGUUGUGAGAUUCAGUAUACACAUCCUCACAUCAUCAAGGAAGAAGCCGAUGCGGAUGAUGUUCCUUCUUUCUCAUUUGACUAUUGUUUUCAGGCUGAGGUCACUGCUUCGAAUCUAAAAGAAGACAAACUUGUGAGUCGAUUUUCAGUUAUAGACCAUAUUUAGUUAGUUAUUAACAUAUGGUUUGAUCUGUUCAGUGUCUUUACGUUCUGUGUUUGCAGUAUUUAGUUAGUUAUUAACAUAUGGUUUGAUCUGUUCUGUGUCUUUACGUUCUGUGUUUGCAGUAUCUUCCUGAGGGAGCUACGACUUGUACUGCUUUGAACAAACAAUGCCAAGAGAUAAUACUUGUCAACAAAGAGGGAAAUUCAUGGACUGUGAGUUUGCGAUUUAGCGAAGCAGACGGCAUGUAUUACAUCAGAAGAGGCUGGAGAAAGUUCUGUCGUGCUAACAGAUGCGCCAUAGGAGACUUAUUUGUGUUCAAUGUGGUUGGAGAUGGGAAAACUACUCCACUAAUGUGUGUAUGUCCGGAAAGGGAAGAGUGAUUUUGAACCUAAACUUAUGUAUGUCGAACCAGAAAUUUAUGUAUGUCUCUUUUUAUGGCUGACUAAUACUCAUAUAAUGGCUGGGUUAUUGUUUGA